rnacentral:lncRNA from 1 species
CCUCUAGCUACCUCUCCUCACAAUCGAACGGAGGUGGAAGAAGAUGAACAGUAGAUGAGAAUUUUCCGGCGACGAACGCCCCGGCCGCCGAACGGCCUGUAUGUUGGCUACUAUUCAACUCAACUACAAAACACUUACAUGGAGGUACACACGCACACACGCAACACAACCUAGAAGAACUCUCACGUCGACCAGGCGCACACCACGGUCCGGACGGAGACUACAUCUUCCUGGCUAUUCCCCUGCUUUACACAGCUAAUGAACAUGGCUUUAUAUUGGUAGCCGUACGCACGCACACAGGGCCGGCCGCUCCACUCGCGACGCACGACCCGGCCACGAUCUGCAUGCAGCGCCAACGGAUGCACGUUCAGCGCAUGCACAACUUUCUCUCAACGGCCAGCCUCACGUACUCAUCCAUUCCCUGAAACUAGCUAACUACUUGCAUGCAGCUAAUAGCCUCAAACCGAAGCACAUGUGCACACAUGCCGUACAUGACACAUGGUCAAGAUUAAGUCUAACAUUUUCCCUCCUAAUUUUGACAUGACUCAUCAAUGGCCGUCCUUCUUCCUCGGCGACACACGCCAAGCUCCGCCGGCGACACAUGCCUGACCCUCCUCCACGCCCCGCACGUCCCGCGCGCACCCGACGAGCCCGACCGUACUAGUGCGUCCCGCACGUCCCGCGCGCAUCCAACGCGCCCGACGAGCCCGACAGCACCAGACGCUCACUGCGUGCCUCCUCCGCGUCCGCCAUGGCAGCCGCCACGCCGCGCCUCCGUGCCACGCACCUUCCACGGCUGUCGCCCCGAGCCGUCGCGACCUCUGCGCCAUCACGCAGGUCCUUCGCGACCUCCUCGUCUCCGCGACCGCCGUGACCUUCGCGCGCACUCCCCACGUCCCUGCGCUCCCGGCCCGCGCUCCCACCGCGCAUGUACGCGAUCUGCGCAACCAGGUCCAGCGCCUCGACGCGGUCCACUCCCGCGGUCCGGACGUGCCCGACACGUCCAGUGCGCACCCAUAACACACACCGGUCACGCCCGACUCGCCGCCGCGUCUUAUUGCCCUACACCGCCGCGGCCUCCAUGCCGCCAUGACGUGCUGCGCCGCCGCGGCACCACGCAACGCCUCGGCGGCCUCCGCGGUCGCCGCACGCACGACGUCACCGCCCGCCGCAUCCGCCACGCGCCAUGAGAGUCACAGCGCCGCCCACCUCCAUGGGCCGACACACGGCCCGGAGCUCCAUCGCGCAGCCUUCGGCAAAAGGCGACACCCAAGAUGAAACCGGCUCAUGAUACCAAAUGUUGGAACCGCAGCCCUCUAGCUACCUCUCCUCACAAUCGAACGGAGGUGGAAGAAGAUGAACAGUAGACGAGAAUUUUCCGGCAACGAACGCCCCGGCCGCCGAACGGCCUGUAUGUUUGCUACUAUUCAACUCAACUACAAAACACUUACAUGGAGGUACACAUGCAACACAACCUAGAAGAACUCUCACGUCGACCAGGCGCACACCACGGUCCCGACGGAGACUACAUCUUCCUGGCUAUUCCCCUGCUUUACACAGCUAAUGAACAUGGCUUUAUAUUGGCAGCCGUACGCACGCACACAGGGCCGGCCGCUCCACUCGCCACGCACGACCCGGCCACGAUCUGCAUGCAGCGCCAACGGAUGCACGUUCAGCGCAUGCACAACUUUCUCUCAACAGCCAGCCUCACGUACUCAUCCAUUCCCUGAAACUAGCUAACUACUUGCAUGCAGCUAAUAGCCUCAAACCGAAGCACAGGUGCACACAUGCACGUACAUGACACAUGGUCAAGAUUAAGUCUAACA